GAUGAAGAACGUAGUGAAAUGCGAUAAGUAAUGUAAAUUGCAGAAUUCAGUGAAUCAUCGAAUCUUUGAACGCACCUUGCGCCCUUUGGCUAUUCCAAAGGGCAUGCCUGUUUGAGUAUCAUGAACACCUCAACUCUCAUGGUCUGCCAUGAUGAGCUUGGACUUUGGAGGUCUGCUGGCCUGUGGUCAGCUCCUCUCAAAUGAAUCAGCUUUCCGGUGUUUGGUGGCAUCAUGGGUGUGAUAAAUAUCUACGCUUGUGGUUUUCCACCAGGUAACCUUCAGUGAUGGGGGUUCGCUGGGGCUCAUAAAUGUCUCUCCUCAGCGAAGACAGCUUUGUGAAUGUUUGAUCUCAAAUCAGGUAGGACUACCCGCUGAACUUAAGCAUAUCAAUAAGCGGAGGA
rnacentral:misc_RNA from 1 species